CAAUAGCGUAUAUUAAAGUUGUUGCAGUUAAAAAGCUCGUAGUUGGAUUUGUGGCGUACGGUGGGUUCCGGGCACUUGUUGUCUGAGUAACUUGCUGUUGCCAUCCUUGGGUGGAACCUGUGUGGCAUUAGGUUGUCGUGCAGGGGAUGCCCAUCAUUUACUGUGAAAAAAUUAGAGUGCUCAAAGCAGGCUUAUGCCGUUGAAUAUAUUAGCAUGGAAUAAUGAGAUAGGACUUUUUUGCUAUUUUGUUGGUUUGCGCAAAGAGGUAAUGAUUAAUAGGGACAGUUGGGGGUAUUCGUAUUCCAUUGUCAGAGGUGAAAUUCUUGGAUUUUUGGAAGACGAACUACUGCGAAAGCAUUUACCAAGGAUGUUUUCAUUAA
rnacentral:rRNA from 1 species